AGAACUUCCAACUGGGCUCCAGCAUGUGUCCAGAGUGAGGUUCUGGGCGACUGAGGCAGCAGCAUGUGCUAUUCAGCUUCCUGCAUUCAUCAGUAAUCUCCCAGGACGCCAGAGAGAUUAGUGAGGACCCAGGAGACGGCUUGGGUGCCGCCUUCCACCUUGUGACCGGCUCCCUUAACUCAUUCCUUUCCACCCAUGGGGGAGCAGGCACAGAGACGAGAAGUCAUGGAGCACAAAGAGGAAAUCUGGCCCAGGGUUUAGAAGUGGAGCAAACUGCCAGAAGCCUGCUCUGUUCAGAGGGCAGCUGCUUUUACAAGAGUGAUUUGACAGGCAGUGUGUCAUGCCAGACUGCAGUUGUGGUGGAAUGAGACCUAUUGCUACACCAAAAAUCUUAGACACUACCUUGCAACUAAGUCAAACAGAACUUCUCUGGGCAGUGGAAAGCAUACUGGGAAAGAGCAGGUCCAGGGACCAGCACAUGACCUGUAGUAUUGCGAUGUCCUUUGGUCUUGGGACCUGAAGUAAUCUUUAGCCAACCAGUCGUCGAUGUGGGUCAAUCUGAAAACCCCAACAUCUGAGGUAAGCUACCACCACCACCAUGCACUUAAGUAAACACCUUUGGUGCUAUAGUUAUUCUGAAAGGGAGAACCACAAAUUGUUAGUGGCCAGAUCCCACCAUGAAGCACAGAAAGCAUCUGUGCCCUUAGAAAAAUUACUAUUUGAAAGUAUGCAGCCUUCAAGUCGAGAGUGGUACACCAGUCUCCCGGGUCCAGAGAAGAGAUGAUGGAGGUUAAGGAGAACUUAGUUUCAUUAAGAUUUUUUUAAGUUCUCUUAGGUGCAGGAUGUUUUACACUGCCCUUGGGCUUUGGGAUAAGAAUGUACAAGGAAUAGAACUCCUUGGUCCUGUACUCACAAGGAACUUCUUCCAUUGCUCCAAGCUGCAGCAGGUCCUUCACCUCCAGUACAAGGAGACCUUUGUGAAAAGGGUUCCUGAAGAGGGACAGGGAAAGGGUGUAAAAGGAACUGGAGGGUAUAGCUCUCGGCGACUGUCUUGAGGAUCCAACAAUCCAAAGUUAUAAUGGCCUAUGCAGGCAGGAAGGGGAAAAGACAGUUGGAGAAACAAAGGGAUAACAGAUCCAGGGUAUAGUCAGGUAGGUCACACUCAGGCCUGAUUGCCACCCUGCCUGUUAUAGGUGGAGCCUGACUGGGUAGAGGGCAGAUGUUGGUGGCUCUUGCAGCAUUUGUAACCUCUGUUCUUUUUGUGAGCCAUCUCCUAUCUGGGUUGGCUUCCUUGAUCCUGUGGUUGCAGCUUGAACCACUUAUGGGUCAGUGUAAUAUAGGAGUGCUUAAACACAUGUAAUUUAUUAUUGUCUGUUCAGCAAACAGUGCCUGGCUGUUGAUAAGAAGAUCCUGCAUUAACCGCUGGACUUCCAUCAGUAAGCCCAGAAGGAGCAACCAGGACAUCUUCCCAUGGAGAUGGCAGAGACCACGGUGUGUACUGUGUAGGCCACUGAAUCCAAGGCUGCCUGAAGGGCCACAGUGCCGCCAUCCUCAAGUAUAGCCUAGAACCCCUUCCUGGUGUUCUCAGAAAGCAAUCCUCAAACUUGGCCAUGGCUUGCCACAUACUGAAGUCAUAUUGGGCAAGGAGAGCUUGGUGAUUAACUACCCUUUACUGGAAGUUGGAGGACAAAAACUGUGUGUCCAAAUCAUGUAUCUGAGUUUUUACUUUUAGGCAUAGUUCCUGGUUGGCCUUGCCUCUCCCACUCAAUUAAUGGCCACUGCUACCAAGGAGCAUGGGGCUGAGUUGGAACAGAAGUACUCACAACCUUUGGCGGACACAAAAUAUUUUCUUUUUGCCCUCUUGGAAAUAGGGGGUAGAAAUGAAGGGGUCUGUCACAGGGUAUUUUUGAUCUUUGACAACCCAUGAUGCAAGGGCAGAGAUCAUCAUAAAGGAGUCCACCGGUUCCCCUAGCUUCUCCUUAUGGAGCCCCAUGUUAGCAGCUAUUCUUUUCAACUGUUCCUAUGAGCUUUAACAUCAGCCUAAGGAACUGGAUGAGAAGUACCCACAAUCAGGCAAAGAUAAGAAGCCAGUGCUUUGGGGUUUGCCAUGUCCAUUGGUAGCCCAACAGGCUGUUCCCUGGGGUCCUCAGGGGCCUGAAUGGUUCUCUUCACUUCUGGUUCUAGGGGAGGACAGACAGAUGGACUACCGAGGCUGAUGGUUUGUCUGAAGUUCCUGGCACCAACCUGAGCUCUUGGGAAGGCUGGUGAAAACCCCAAGGGCUCCAGGGUACCAGACAUCCUGACCUGUUGGCAGUGAUUCCUGACAAGUGUAAGAGCUCAAGGGAGAAUGGUUUCUCUUAGGCAAUCACGAGCAGGUGGAUCGGUGACUAUAUUCACUGCAAUGCUGAUUGCUGCACUUCAACAGGAAUCUUUCCAGUUGGGAUGAUUCCCCUCUAUGGGUUGUUGGAGACUGGUGGAUUAGCAACAGCAUUCCGGUGAUCUAUCCCUUAAUGCUGCUUGACCAGUACCUGGUGCAGGUCCUGCACUGGGAGGAUCAUCUUCUCAACUGAGGGAGUAUACAUCAUGGCAACGUGUACCAGUAACCUAACAGUCGGUGACUCUGCUCCUGUCUCAGGCUGGAACUAGGGUUACUGCAGCACCACCUGGCCUGAAAUGGUUUACAUUAUAUACAGGGUUUACAGUUUGGUUAAAUGCCUCUCAGCAUCCCCAUUGUAAAAGUUGUUUCAACAUCCAUGGCCUCAAGCCUAUGACUGGUGCCAACGUAUAGGUGAACAACUAGGCCAGUCUGGUGAUGCUGAUGCCAGAUGCACCUCAGCAGGCCUGCUCCAGGACAUCGAGGAGCAUAUCUCAAGACAUCUGAAUGCUUCCCUGAGUCCAGAGACCGAUGGAGGCUUCCCCAAGCCAGCCUCCCAGGACUGGUGGUUCUGUGGUCAAGUGCUGGUGGGACAUUGCCUGUGAUGGGAAGCAGUGCCGCUGAGACAGAGACUUCUAAAAAUGUCCCAAAGGCACAUUUAUCCCUGGACCAGGAUACUGACGGAGAUGGUGUGGACAGCGCCAGUAGUACCAAGACAUGCUGAGCUGCCUGCAGAGGGAAGGGUGUUGAUGAGACCUUCAAUAGAUGCAGGCCCAUGUCACUGUCCAUCGUGGCAGGCAAGGGUCAGGGUAGGUUAGGUUGCUCAACCCAAGCUGGGGCCCAACUCCUGGUCCAAGACACUGAACCAUCCUUCUUCAGUCUUGGCUCUCCCUCCUCUCCUCUUUCUUGCAGGAUAUAGGAUCUUCCUCUCCUGGUCUUCUUUUGCUGCUUGGCUGGUGCUGGGGAGGGGGACUGGCACUGGUGGGACACACUGCACUGAUGCUGGGGUGCCCUAGGCAUAGUCAGAGCUCAAAUGUUCCAGUGCUGGAGUUAGCUCCAACUCCAUCAGCACUUUGAGAUGGAGGUCUCGCCCCUUCUUACACUGAGGCUUGAAGGACUUACAGAUAUGGUACUUUUCACUUAUAUGCAAUUCACCCAAACACCUUAAAAACUGUUAUGCAGGUCACAGAUGGGCAUCAGUUUUUUGCAGCAAUCACAGGACUUAAAGCCUAAAGACCAGAGCAUGCCUCGUCCCUAGGCUGAGUCCCAUGUAGGACUAACUAUGUCAAACACACUAAAGGAUAAUUGUAAGCUAUUACACAGGAAAAGUUCAUAGCACUAAAAGUGAAAAGGCUACCCAAAGCAGCAGACAUUCCAGCACCAGCAGCAAGGAGAAACUGAAGGUGGGAGGAGCAGCAGUGCCCCGAUACCAUGGUACUUGCAUACCACUGAGGGGAAAAACUCCAGCAAAGGUGCAUGUAGUGAGCACACACCGAAUAUGGAAUAGACAUGAACAAGCACUCAAACAGAUCCCAAGAGGUAAUCUAACCUCAUUGUGUCUCUCUGACACAGGAAAAACACCACAUAAAGACUUCUUAGCUGAGAAUUCCAUUAGGUCAAUUACAAUAAGACUGCUUUACACUACUCUGGAAUAAUAAGGGGGCCUUAAUUGACUAAUAAUGGGAACAAUUAACUGACAGCCAGCCUGCCUAUUUCUGCUCUGCCUUAGGGACAGAACCUGCUUUACAGUCCUACACCUCCAAAUCCUGGAUGCAGCAACAGUGAGGAAGAGGGACGGAAGAGGGACACAGUGCACCCUGUUUCACCCCUUAACACAGAGGUGGGCAAAAGGGACUCCACAGGCUGGCCCUGGCCCAAGGACACUGCCACAGCCCUGCCCAUAGGUCAAUUAGGGCCUAGGGACAGGGAGUGCACAGUCUCUUCCCCUGCUAGUGGCACAUGGCACUUAGGUCAACUGCCAGGUUUGACUAAGUAUAGCACCCCCUUGUAGGGCAGGGAGCGAGAGAUUUCCCAUGAUUCCCCCACUCCCAAGCCAUGAUCAACCUGGGGCUGGGG